rnacentral:rRNA from 1 species
ACGGGUGAGUAACACGUGAGCAACCUGGCUCUAANAGGGGGACAACAGUUGGAAACGACUGCUAAUACCGCAUAACGUAUCGGGAUGGCAUCUUCCUGAUACCAAAGAUUUUAUCGCUUAGAGAUGGGCUCGCGUCUGAUUAGAUAGUUGGCGGGGUAACGGCCCACCAAGUCGACGAUCAGUAGCCGGACUGAGAGGUUGAACGGCCACAUUGGGACUGAGACACGGCCCAGACUCCUACGGGAGGCAGCAUG